rnacentral:rRNA from 1 species
UACGUAGGGACCGAGCGUUGUCCGGAAUCAUUGGGUGUAAAGAGCGUGUAGGCGGCUAUUUAAGUCCUGCGUGAAAUCCUGCGGCUCAACCGCAGACGGUCGUGGGAAACUGGAUGGCUAGAGUGCGGGAGAGGAGAGUGGAAUUCCCGGUGUAGCGGUGAAAUGCGCAGAUAUCGGGAAGAACACCCGUGGCGAAGGCGGCUCUCUGGAACGCAACUGACGCUGAGACGCGAAAGCGUGGGGAGCAAACAGG